GAUUUCUGGUGUGCUCAUCUUAAUCUAUUAGAGGUUACUCUAAUAAGUAUUAAGAUUCGAUCUACCAUAAUUUCAAUUGUGAUCAGUAUUAUUCAUUUAAUAUUGGUUAUUAAGCAAUUGAAUCUUUUACUUUGAAAAAAUUAGAGUGUUCAAAGCAAGCAUUUGCUAUGAAUAUAUUAGCAUGGAAUAAUAAUUUAGGACUUCGGUUCUAUUUUGUUGGUUUCUAGGACUGAAGUAAUGAUUGAUAGGGAUAGUUGGGGGUGCUAGUAUUCAGCGGCCAGAGGUGAAAUUCUCGGAUUCGCUGAAGACUAACUUAUGCGAAAGCAUU
rnacentral:rRNA from 1 species